GCCAUCUUUUAAGGUUUUUUUCGGACAUUUCCUGUGUAACCUCAUUUGAGAGCCUGCCACUGAGGACUUCAUUUGUAGUGGAGGUUCGGCCACCAAGAAAGUCUCGAAACCAAUAUUUCACGGUGUAAUCUGAAGGAGCAUGAGCCGCAUACUGUCAAAACAAAACUAAGGGCUGUAUCGCACUGAAUUUCAACAUGGUUACCUAAAUAUGAAUGGACUAUAAGGAGCGACAAUAAUUUUUGCGGUGGUCAAGGAGGUUACUUUUCAGCCCACCUAAUACACACAUUUCUUUUUAUUAUGAAUAUAUUUGUGAUAACUACGAAUAUCGCAAAUAUUUUCUUCAUUCUGCGGAUGACACACAUUCAUUUUGUAUACCAAAUACUUUGACAUCUUUAUAAUAUAUUAUCUUAUAUGAAC